rnacentral:rRNA from 1 species
UACGGGGGGGUGCGAGCGUUGUCCGGAAUCACUGGGCGUAAAGGGCGCGUAGGUGGCAUGAUAAGGGUGUGGUGAAAGCCCGGGGCUCAACCCCGGGUCGGCCAUGCCGACUGUCAAGCUGGAGUACUGUAGGGGCAGGCGGAAUUCCGGGUGUAGCGGUGGAAUGCGUAGAGAUCCGGAGGAAGACCGGUGGCGAAGGCGGCAUCCUGGACCGGCAUUGACGCUGAGGAGCGAAAGCCAGGGGAGCAAACGGG